AAUUACUGUUUGAGGACCAGCUUGCAAAAUUCUUGAAUAUUUAACCCCCAGGAUCAAGGAUGAGCUAGUCCUAGCCCUUCACUGUAAGUAAUACUGUAUCAAAUCUGCCCCUGACCCAAGGGUUUUGGUUUUCCAUCUUCAUGGAAAACUCUUCUCAAAUCCUUGUGGGAACAUUCUUUCACCUCCUUUAAAAACUGUUCUAUUAGGUACUCUGAUUUUUGUUUGUUUGUUUGUUUUUAGCCUCACUAAGUAGUGGCCUCAAAAUCACAGUGAUCCUCUUGCCUUGGCCACUGGAGUGCUGGGGUUGCAGGGAUCGAACUCGGGACCUUGCGCUUGUGAGGCAGGCACUUGAACCACUAAGCUAAAUCCCCGACCCCAUGACUGUAUUUCUUUGGAGAAAGAUGAUUGGCUGCAGAGGAGAAUUGAGUACAAGAAUGGAGAGAGAUAAGAGAUGAGAGAAUAAUUAGCAGGUGCCAUGAACUGUUUCUCCUCUGCGACAUCCCUCUGCCAUGUGCCACUCUGUCUUGGAGCCAGCUGAUUAUGGACUGAAACCUCUACAAACUUCUCUUCCCAACAGGAUCUACAUUCUACGACAGUAGACUUCCGUCUGUUUUGCUCACUGUAUCCUGUGUAUAGCACAGUGCCUGGCUCAGAGUAGAUUCGACAAAUAUUUGUUGAAGGAAUGAAUGAAUAUAUGAGUGAAAAGCCACUCAGCUGAUAAAUGGUGGAGGUAAGAUUCAAGUGUCCUGUUU
rnacentral:lncRNA from 1 species